rnacentral:rRNA from 1 species
GUGACGGGGACAGCUCCUAGAAUAAGGAGAUAAUACCGGAUACGCUGCAACAUGCAGAGGUGUUGCAGGAAAGGAUCUUUUGAUUCGCACAGAGAGCGGCCCGCGUACUAUUAGCUAGCGGUGAGGUAACGGCCCACCAAGGCGACGAUAGUUACCCGGCCUAAGAGGGUGAUCGGGCACAUUGGGACUGAGAUACGGCCCAGACUCCUACGGGAGGCAGCAGCUAAGAAUAUUCCGCAAUGGACGAAAGUCUGACGGAGCGACGCCGCGUGGAUGAUGAAAGGCCGGAAGGUUGUAAAAUCCUUUUAUGACUGAGGAAUAAGUUUUCUGAGAGAAACGGAAGAUGGUGACUGUAGGUCAUGAAUAAGCAACGGCUAAUUACGUGCCAGCAGCUGC